AUCACUUCUUGGCCUUUUGGCUAAGAUCAAGUGUUGUAUCUGUUCUUAUCCACUGAAAUAAAGGCAAUCCCAAAAUGAAGGCAGUUUAGGUGACUUGGAAAGGCACAUUCCUCUUAUCUAUGCCAUCCUUGCUUUAAUACCACAU
ensembl:snRNA U2 U2 spliceosomal RNA